rnacentral:misc_RNA from 1 species
AAAAAAAAAAAGGGCCAAAGCUCAAUAAAGCAUGCUAAUGGCUAUCACUAUAUACUAAAAGGAUUUAAAAAGACUACAAAGCAUGUGGUAAAAAUAAUUAGUAAUCCCUUUUGAAUGACUUCCAAAAACAAUAAAUUUAAGCUUUCUAAAAGUAAGGUAAGAUUAAGAGGAAUGGGAAUGCAAUAAUAAAAAGUCAGUUCAAAGAGAGAAAAUGAUUAUGCCUUUGGGCCCCAAGCAGGAGCAGAAUAGGACUGGAAUAGUUCCCAGAUACAAAUCACUCAUAGAUAUAAACACGGGUUAAAAAGGACUUGCAAACAGAUGCCAAGGUUCGUGCAAACAAACGUUAUUACAAGAACGAAAAACAGAGACUCAGUGAAGGAUAAGCUAUUCUCCUCUGAUUGAUACAAGUUAUAAAAUCCAGAAUAAUAAAACUAAGCAAUACUCUCCAAUCACAUUGAAUAUAAACCUAUUUAUAAUAUUAAAUUUGAAAUUCAUUUACUUUUAUAAUAUAAAUUGAUCUCCCAUAUCCAAAAUCUAUUCAACACAUAAGCAUGAUCUGAAGAUGCAUAUUUAUUUUUGCUAUUUACCCAAUAGAAGACAAGUUAAGCUCCUUCUUAGACAAGGUUAUCGUGAUAACUGAAACAUGGCGGGUGGUUUCCAGUGGAAGUAGGCCUUCUUCUAAGGGUUCCCAUGUGUCAGUUAUAUCAAUAGAUCCAACUGAUGUGAUUUGAUGAAGAC